rnacentral:rRNA from 1 species
AAUUGGAGGGCAAGUCUGGUGCCAGCAGCCGCGGUAAUUCCAGCUCCAAUAGCGUAUAUUAAGGUUGUUGCAGUUAAAAAGCUCGUAGUUGAAUUUCGGGACUGACAGGUUGGUCGCGCCUUCGGUGUGUACUGGCCUAGUCGGUUUCUCCCUUCUGACGAACCACGAUGUCAUUAAUUUGGUGUCGUGGGGAAUCAGGACUGUUACUUUGAAAAAAUUAGAGUGUUUAAAGCAGGCUUAGGCUUGAAUACAUUAGCAUGGAAUAAUGAAAUAGGACGUUUGACCCUAUUUUGUUGGUUUCUAGGAUCGACGUAAUGAUUAAUAGGGAUAGUUGGGGGCAUUAGUAUUCAAUUGUCAGAGGUGAAAUUCUUGGAUUUAUUGAAGACUAACUACUGCGAAAGCAUUUGCCAAGGAUGUUUUCAUUAAUCAAGAACGAAAGUUAGGGGAUCGAAGACGAUCAGAUACCGUCGUAGUCUUAACCAUAAACUAUGCCGACUAGGGAUCGGAUGAUGUUAAUUUUAUAAUGACUCAUUCGGCGCCUUACGGGAAACCAAAGUGU